rnacentral:sRNA from 1 species
UAUUUUCAUUUCCCUUUUAAUUUAGUUUUGAAAUUGAAAAAAACUAAAUAAUAAUAAGAAUCAUACAAAAUAUAUUUUAGUUAGAUAUACAAUGUGUUUAUUUAUUCUAAAAUACCAUAAACUAUUCAAUAGAGUAACUUUCUAAGUAAUAUCAAAAAUAAUAAAAAUUUAUAUCUUUUGAAUAUUUUUGUUGGUCAAUGCCGGUCAAUGAUUGAUUUUGACAAUUCGUAUGCCGGAAAAAGAUGUUCGUGAUGUUCACCACAUGUCGUCAUAUAGUUGGUAUAUGUGGGCAUGCAAUACAUCUAGUUCGUGUAGUUGGUUGUACAUUUCUAAACUUGGUAUGUGUGGUCAUGUAUUCUGUUAUACUCGGUGUAGCUGAACAUCUUUUUUCCUAUUUUUAACUAUGUAUUAUGAUUUUUAUUUUGGCAAAAAACUUUAUACUUUUUCUUUUGCCAUGCAAACUUUAGACUAAAGAGUCAUCUACUUAAUUUUUCCCUAAUGAAAUUAAUAAAAUUUAUUUUCAUUUCCCUUUUAAGUUAGUUUUGAAAUUGAAAAAAAAAAAAUAAUAAGAAUCAUACAAUUUUUUUUGAAAA